GUGAUGCAUGGCUCUUAAAUUCUCCAGAAUAAUCGCUGGGAUUCGCCCUUGCAGAUGAAGGUUUCGAUGUAUGGGUUGGGAAUGUGUGUGGAACACGUUGGAGUAAUGGACACACAUCUUUAUCAUAAGAGAAUAAGGUUUAUGCUUUCUUGUAGGAUUUUUGGGUUGGAGUUGGCAGGAAUUGGCUUUAUUUGAUCCAUCAGAAAUGAUGCGCCACAUAUAACCGACAACAAGCUCCAAAGUCUUUGUUGUUGGACAUUCACAGGGAACAAUCAUGUCUUUAGCUGCUCUCACCCAACAGAAGAUUGCAGAACUGGUUGCCGCUGCCGUUCUUUUCUGUCCAUUAUCAUACUCGGAGCAUAUCACUUCUAAACCCUAGAAUGGCCAGCAUAUAUGUUGAUCAGGGGCACCAACCUUUUGGAUUCAAUAUGUGAUGGCUAUGUUGACUGUUUAUAUUAUUUUGCUUUUGAUUAUCGGGGUUUAAGUACUAUGUUCCCCUGUUAUAUAUUUUUCCUCAAGUAAUACUAUGGGCGUGAGGGCCUAGCCCCCCAACUUCGACUGGGUUCUAGCCCUUUUUAAACAUAUUUUUUAAUAUAUGUUGAUGUAUUAAAAAAAAAAAACACAUUUUGUGUGUUUGCCUCGGCGCCAAAAACACUCAGGACGACCUUGUAGUUUGGCCUUCUUUGGGUUCUUAUUGCUGCUUUUGUUUCCAGUUUUAGUA